rnacentral:rRNA from 1 species
GACGAACGCUGGCGGCGUGCUUAACACAUGCAAGUGGAGCGACGAACCAGGGCUUGCCCUGGGGCAGAGCCGCGAACGGGUGAGUAACACGUGGGUAACGUGCCCCGAUGACUGGGACAACCCGGGGAAACCCGGGCUAAUACCGGAUGUGCCCCCUCACAUCAGUGAGGUGUGUAAAGGAAGCUUCGGCCUCCGCAUCGGGAUCGGCCCGCGGCCCAUUAGCUUGUUGGUGAGGUAACGGCUCACCAAGGCUGCGAUGGGUAGCUGGUCUGAGAGGACGAUCAGCCACACUGGGACUGAGACACGGCCCAGACUCCUACGGGAGGCAGCAGUGGGGAAUCUUGCGCAAUGCGCGAAAGCGUGACGCAGCAACGCCGCGUGGGGGAAGACGGCCUUCGGGUUGUAAACCCCUUUCAGUUGGGACGAAGGUCGGGCGGUUAACAGCCGUUCCGGCUGACGGUACCUUCACAAGAAGCCCCGGCUAACUACGUG